rnacentral:lncRNA from 1 species
AUGAUGAUACCAAACACGAAUCUGCACAGUGCACUCGGCGGGAUGCAUCAACACAGCACCCAGCGCGGCGAGAGGCAUCAACACAGCACCUGGCGGGAGGCAACAACACAGCACCUGGCGGGAGGCAACAACACAGCACCCGGCGAGAGGCAACAACACAGCACCCGGCGAGAGGCAACAACACAGCACCUGGCGGGAGGCAACAACACAGCACCCGGCGCGAGGCAACAACACAGCACCCGGCGAGAGGCAACAACACAGCACCCGGCGAGAGGCAACAACACAGCACCCGGCGAGAGGCAACAACACAGCACCCGGCGAGAGGCAACAACACAGCACCCGGCGAGAGGCAACAACACAGCACCCGGCGAGAGGCAACAACACAGCACCCGGCGAGAGGCAACAACACAGCACCCGGCGGGAGGCAACAACACAGCACCCGGCGAGAGGCAACAACACAGCACCCGGCGAGAGGCAACAACACAAUACCAGGCGAGAGGCAACAACACAGCACCCGGCGAGAGGCAACAACACAAUACCAGGCGAGAGGCAACAACACAGCACCCGGCGAGAGGCAACAACACAGCACCCGGCGAGAGGCAACAACACAGCACCCGGCGAGAGGCAACAACACAGCACCCGGCGAGAGGCAACAACACAGCACCCGGCGAGAGGCAACAACACAAUACCAGGCGAGAGGCAACAACACAAUACCAGGCGAGAGGCAACAACACAGCACCCGGCGAGAGGCAACAACACAGCACCCGGCGAGAGGCAACAACACAGCACCCGGCGAGAGGCAACAACACAGCACCCGGCAAGAGGCAACAACACAGCACCCGGCGAGAGGCAACAACACAGCACCCGGCGAGAGGCAACAACACAGCACCCGGCGAGAGGCAACAACACAGCACCCGGCGAGAGGCAACAACACAGCACCCGGCGAGAGGCAACAACACAGCACCCGGCGAGAGGCAACAACACAGCACCCGGCGAGAGGCAACAACACAGCACCCGGCAAGAGGCAACAACACAGCACCCGGCGAGAGGCAACAACACAGCACCCGGCAAGAGGCAACAACACAGCACCCGGCGUGGCGAGAGGCAACAACACAGCACCCGGCGCAGCGAGAGGCAACAACACAGCACCCGGCGAGAGGCAACAACACAGCACCCGGCGUGGCGAGAGGCAACAACACAGCACCCGGCGAGAGGCAACAACACAGCACCCGGCAAGAGGCAACAACACAGCACCCGGCGAGAGGCAACAACACAGCACCCGGCAAGAGGCAACAACACAGCACCCGGCGUGGCGAGAGGCAACAACACAGCACCCGGCGCAGCGAGAGGCAACAACACAGCACCCGGCGAGAGGCAACAACACAGCACCCGGCGUGGCGAGAGGCAACAACACAGCACCCGGCGCAGCGAGAGGCAACAACACAGUACCCGGCGCAGCGAGAGGCAGCAACACAGCACCCGAAACACAGACCUUAUAUUAAGUGUUUCUAA